UGUCCCUUCAUUUUCAUUUAUUUCAUUAUUGUUGUCUGUGCAUCAAUUCCUUCUUGUUAGUGAUCAAUUGUUUCUCUUCUUUAUCUGGGAAGUUUCUUCCAUCGUCAACUCAAAAAUCUCAAUAUAUGCUCAGUAAUUAAUUUGACCUUCUUUCUGUUCAUAUGGAUUUUUGGUGCAAUUAAAGGGGAUUAAAAUUCAGAACAGAUUUGAUUCCUAGCGAAUCAACUUUUUGGUUAGCUUCACAUUAUCAAUGGCCACCAACAUUUCAAGGGAGCAAUUUAGAAAGAAAAAAAGAAUGAUGAGAUAUUAAAAUUAACCAUCUUGUUCCUAACUCCAUGUAUGUUUUGUAAGUUUUUGUAUCUAUGUAAAUGGUGUAUCAAGUCAUUGUCAGCUGAGUUGGCCUUUCUGCAGGUGAGACCCUCAAAUUAGCAAGUUCACUUUAUAUGCUAUUUUGUUUCAUGAAAAUGUCUUUGUAUUGUUGAUGUUAGUCGUAGCAUCAUAAAUCGUAUUGUUUUGUAUAGAAAAGGAGAAUACUAGCAGAAAGUUGAAAAGAUAUUUCAUAGAUCGUAUUGUUUUGUAUAGAAAAGGAGAAAAGAGUAUUCGAUUAUAUUAGAAGGUUGACAAGGUAAACAUUGAUAUGUUUUACUUUUUUUUUAUAGUAUAAUAAGUAGUUUAUUUGCA